UUAACUCAAAUUUGUAUGGAAUUGGAACGUUUGCCUACACUUACCGCUAGGAGCGCUGUUCCAACUGCAUACAAAUUUGAGUAA
rfam:Bombyx mori DNA, contig: Bm_scaf27_contig17856, strain: p50T/Dazao, build 2, whole genome shotgun sequence.